AUUGAACGCUGGCGGCAGGCCUAACACAUGCAAGUCGAACGAGUGGCGGACGGGUGAGUAAUGUCUGGGAAACUGCCCGAUGGAGGGGGAUAACUACUGGAAACGGUAGCUAAUACCGCAUACCAUCGGAUGUGCCCAGAUGGGAUUAGCUAGUAGGUGGGGUAACGGCUCACCUAGGCGACGAUCCCUAGCUGGUCUGAGAGGAUGACCGGCCACACUGGAACUGAGCCACGGUCCAGAGUCCUACGGGAGGGAGCAGUGGGGAAGAUGGGACAAUGGGCGCAAGCCUGAUGCAGCCAUGCCGCGUGUAUGAAGAAGGCCUUCGGGUUGUAAAGUACUUUCAGCGAGGAGGCGUUACUCGCAGAAGAAGCACCGGCUAACUACGUGCCAGCAGCCGCGGUAAUUC
rnacentral:rRNA from 1 species